ACAUAUUUUAGAGCUAAAAUCAAAUUAACAAAAUAAUUAAAAUUACUUUCAAAUCCAAAUUCAUAUUAUUUUAAAAAUAAUAAUCUUAAAUUAUAUUUAAUGUAACCCAUUUCUUCUUUUCCAUAUACUACACCUUGAUCUGAUUUAUUUUUUUAUAAAAAUUCUUGAAUAUUAUAAUUCUUAUAAAAUAUUCAAAUUACGACGAUAUGUAAAUUAAUAAAAAAAGUAAAUUAAAUCGUGGAUUAUCGAUUACAGAACAGGUUCCUCUGAAUAGACUAAAAUACCGCCAAAAUCUUUAAUUUUCAAGAACAUAACUAUUACUAAUUUAGUUUUUAAAAUUACACUUAAA
rnacentral:rRNA from 1 species